AUAGUAAUCUGGUUGAUCCUGCCAGUAGUCAUAUGCUUGUCUUAAAGAUUAAGCCAUGCAUGUCUAAGUAUAAAUAGUAUACAGUGAAACUGCGAAUGGCUCAUUAAAACAGUUAUAGUUUAUUUGAUAAUUGAAUUCUACAUGGAUAACCGUAGUAAUUCUAGAGCUAAUACAUGCGAUUAAACCUGACUCUUGGAAAGGUUGUAUUUAUUAGAUAUCAAACCAGUAGUCUUUCGGGAUUAUUGUGAUGAUUCAUAAUAACUGAUCGGAUCAAGGAGUUCCUUGAUAGAUCAUUCAAGUUUCUGCCCUAUCAGCUUUCGAUGGUAGUGUAUUGGACUACCAUGGCAGUCACGGGUAACGGAGAAUUAGGGUUCGAUUCCGGAGAGGGAGCCUGAGAAACGGCUACCACAUCUACGGAAGGCAGCAGGCGCGUAAAUUACCCAAUCCUGAUUCAGGGAGGUAGUGACAAGAAAUAACAACUCGGGUUCUUACGAAUUACGAGAUUGCAAUGAGAACAAUUUAAAUCACUUAACGAGUAACAAUUGGAGGGCAAGUCUGGUGCCAGCAGCCGCGGUAAUUCCAGCUCCAAUAGCGUAUAUUAAAGUUGUUGCAGUUAAAAAGCUCGUAGUUGAAUUUCUGAUUAUGAAUGUAGUGGUUUCCCGCUCCAUUUGUAGUCAUCCACAUGAGAACCCAUCUCGGCCUUAACUGGUCGGUUGGGGGAUCAUGUACUUUACUUUGAAAAAAUC
rnacentral:rRNA from 1 species